rnacentral:rRNA from 1 species
GAUGAACGCUGGCGGCGUGCUUAACACAUGCAAGUCGAACGAAGCACUUUAUUUGAUUUCCUUCGGGACUGAUUAUUUUGUGACUGAGUGGCGGACGGGUGAGUAACGCGUGGGUAACCUGCCUUGUACAGGGGGAUAACAGUUGGAAACGGCUGCUAAUACCGCAUAAGCGCACGGCAUCGCAUGAUGCAGUGUGAAAAACUCCGGUGGUAUAAGAUGGACCCGCGUUGGAUUAGCUAGUUGGUGAGGUAACGGCCCACCAAGGCGACGUUCCAUAGCCGAGCUGAGAGGGUGACCGGCCACAUUGGGACUGAGACACGGCCCAAACUCCUACGGGAGGCAGCAGUGGGGAAUAUAGCACAAUGGGCGAAAGCCUGAUGCAGCGACGCCGCGUGAGCGAAGAAGUAUUUCGGUAUGUAAAGCUCUAUCAGCAGGGAAGAUAAUGACGGUACCUGACGAAGAAGCACCGGCUAAAUACGUG